rnacentral:rRNA from 1 species
GACGAACGCUGGCGGCGUGCUUAACACAUGCAAGUCGAACGGAAAGGCCCUGCUUGCAGGGUGCUCGAGUGGCGAACGGGUGAGUAACACGUGGGUGAUCUGCCCCUUAUUUUGGGAUAAGCCUGGGAAACUGGGUCUAAUACUGGAUAGGACCAUGCUGUAGGUGGUGUGGUGGAAAGAUUAGUUUCGGUAAGGGAUGAGCUCGCGGCCUAUCAGCUUGUUGGUGGGGUAAUGGCCUACCAAGGCGUCGACGGGUAGCCGGCCUGAGAGGGUGGACGGCCACAUUGGGACUGAGAUACGGCCCAGACUCCUACGGGAGGCAGCAGAGGGGAAUAUUGCACAAUGGGCGCAAGCCUGAUGCAGCGACGCCGCGUGGGGGAUGACGGCCUUCGGGUUGUAAACUCCUUUCAGCCAUGACGAAGCCCUUGUGGUGACGGUAGUGGUAGAAGAAGCACCGGCUAACUACGUA